GGGAAGGUCGAGCUCGGUGGUAGAGCGCAUGCUUAACACGCACGAGGUCCUGGGUUCAAUCCCCAGCACUGCCU
rnacentral:tRNA from 1 species